GCAUAUAUUGCUAUUGUAGUAGCCUUAACUAUCGUACACGUCAAUUCAGAGAAUCUCAGCCAAAAGUCCUUUCAAGUCAAUUAAACGAAACUUUCUUCUGACAGGAAGAGGGAUGCGAAAAUGUUUGCUAGGAUUUCUAAUCUGCAGUUUUUUUUUAAGUUUUGCAGCUAGACCUAAUUCUUUAUAAAAAUACCACUAUCCCAUAUGCUUAUAUAUGACAAUAAGUAGCAUUUUAAGUAAGCAAGUAAAUGAACAAACAAAUAAAUUAUGAUGGUAGUCGUCACACGAGAUGCUAUCCGGGUUUGCUUGUUACAGGUGAAACCAAGUAUUUUGACAACAAGAUAAUAAAAAGCUAACUAGAAUUUUUGGGCACAUUUUUGUAAAUGCCAUGAUCACACAAUGCCAUGCACUAUGAUAAUCCACUAUAUAAAGUAUAAAAGAAAAAACUGAAUGGCCCUUUAACUUGCUCAUAUAUACAUAUUUUUUUUUUUUUUCAAUUAUCUGAUAGAUAUAGUUCGGAUAUAGAUCUAACGAGGUAGAUUAUUGAGGUAACUGCUCAGAUCCAGCUCGCUAGAUUUUUGUAUAUUGUUGGGCAAGCUACCUUUUGUGUGUACCACUCAAGUCAAAACGCACUAACGUGGAAUGGCGAACUUAAAUAAAUACCAAUGUUGCCGUUUAAACAAUAUUCUUGCCAAGACUAAUGCUACCUUUGAUGAUCAAUGAAACCUUAUUGACGUCUCAUGCCUCCCACGGGCCAAUUGGACUAUUGGACAACCAAUAGUGAUCAUGAAAGAAAAAUUUCAGCAGUUUCCUGUUUAAAUUACUAUAUUAUCAAGUGGUCUUUAAAUAAUACCACUCGAGUCUUAGGGCUUCUUUGUCGUAAAUGAUUUUAUAGUAAUUUUACAGAUCGAAAGUGGGUCACGCUUUAACAGCAACGACAAUGCGGAUCACGACGACAGUUGCUUCAGCAUUUGGCCCGCAACGGAUAAUCAGGGCCACAAUUGCAAUAAUGACUUGAGUGACUGACCACUUGCACCACUCUCACGUCUGACCCGGCACAACAAACUGAGUAACGUUGCGCUUUUGGCAAGUCCGCUUAAGGAAUUCCUCUACUAAAUAUAUGUGUAUGUGUCUGUGUGCAUUUAUGUAACCACCACAACAACGAGACAAAAGAUGGCGCGAGAGAACACGAACAGCAGCAGCAGCAGCAGCAGCAGCUGUUGCCGUUGCAACUCGAUUGUUACAGUGCCUUGUUUGUGGGUUUAGCUCGACGCAUCCAUAUGCCGCCCAGCGACCGCAACAACCGGGCCAUUCUGAUUGGUGCUACCGCUGGCGCUGGUAGUAAUAACAACAAACGUCAACGUUUCCAGCCCCCAGAAUGACCAAUCGUACUACGCAACCCAGAAGAUAUCAUCGUGAUCAUCAUCAUCAACAACGGCAGUAGCAAUAUUACGCUAAGCGGUAACAAUGGCAACUCUAUCCCCGUUUGUACAUCACCAACGUGUUACUUGGUGUCACCAGAGUGCCUUCCUCUAAGGACACUGAUGUUGAUAAUGCUCGGUGACUCCGUCUACGUAAAGCAACUUCUACUUCCACCGCUGGAGAUACUGCUAAGUAGAUUUGGUUUCAGAGUCGAAGUCUGGAAUGGAACGUUGCAUUUCCCGCUAUUGAUAAUCACCUUUACUUCAUGACUCUUCGAUAAACACAGUGCAGUGGGAAUGGAUCAUGCCAUCAACAUCUCAACCCGACACCCACUGAAGCAAGCAAGCAAACAAACAGGCAGGCAGGCAACCGGCUAGGGCAGGAGAUUCAGAGCUGGCAGUCUGCGUUGUCGGAAAGCCUACCGAAGCAGCUGACUUCUAUUACCGGAAGAUCCCGACUACCGUCGAAUCUCGUUCUGUCUCAUUAAUGCAUUCAUUCAUUUUUGGCCGUUGGAAUGUUCGUUGGCUUGUUGUUUAUUGGUUCUUUCGCCUUUCUGCUCGUCUACCCUCCUAUUCUGUCCAUAAGCAAUACGACGCUUAAGCAAGCAGGCUCGCCGGCCGGCUGGCUGGCUGGCUGGCUGGCUGGCUCACUGGCGGUUGGUAGGCUGAAUGGAGCAACGCUGUUUCGUAGCUAUUUCGCGACUGCUGCAGCAACGGCAAAUGCCUUCGAACGGCCGUCGUCGUCGAAUAACAAACAGCAGCGCGCAACUGGUGACUAGAACAGUGGCAGCGAACAGCGACUGCAUUCCUCUGUUGCUCUAGGAAUGCAAGGUCGCUUACUCCUCGCUCACCGAAACGGCGGAACGCGCGAACACAGAACGACAACGACGACGCCGACAACAGCCAUAUAAUAUAGCAACAGCAGCUUGCAAGCAUUACCGCGGAAACCCUUUUAGUCAACACUGGCGACGACAACCCUGCAGUCGACAAUGACACUCAUCAGAACGUUCGUCGACGUCGACAUCGACUUCGAUAACAAUAGCAGUGAUGAUUAGGCCACUACGUGACAACUGCGACAAGCUGUUGCUAGCAUGAUCGUCGUCGUCGUCGUCGUCGUCGUCGUCGUCGUGGUAAUGGCGCUUCAGUGGAGCGGUUGUUCAAUUGACAGCAGUUGAACUGCAAACGAAGUAAAAUUGUACGGCCAUCAAGUAUCGCUACCGGACUUAGUGACGCGCAUAAGACCAAUAGACAAACAGACAAUACGUAGACAACAGCAACUACCUCAUUAUCAUCAUCAUUUUCAGCAUCGCAUUGUCAAACCAUACAGAAACUUAACUUAAGUAGAAACAAGGUAAGGACUACAGCCGCAAAAGUCGUACUGGGUAUUGCUCGCCGUCCUAGUACGAGCAGUUCUGUUAUGGCAGUUGCUGAUAUUCGCAGCACCAGCCGUGCUGCCGGUACUAGCCAGAUCACGCUAACGAAAAUCGUGGCUGUAAUAGUUAUCGCUGUGAUAUGUAGAAGCUACUAGAAUAUUUUGAGUCUUGCCUUUGGUACUUAGGUUGUUAAACUUUACUUCAGACAGCUAGCUGCCCGCACAAAACAACCUGUAUCCGUGUACAUUCAGCCUCAAGCCUUUGAUCUCAAGUAUAGCUCUCUCUGCCCAAAGACUUGACCCCUGCACCUUUACCACAGGAACUUGCAAAGGCUACUUAUACUAUCACUGAGGAAAAAGAUUGUAGCGGAUCUACCAGUUAAGGUGGCUACAUUGAUCGGUGUGUCCGACUGCAGUAAACCGAUGAAUCGAUGCAAGCGCACGAUAGGGCACUGUACGCAUACAUGAUGCCGAACGCGACCGUUCCGUACAGCAAAUACUACUAUACGUUAGCUCUUUUUUUCUUGUUGAUUUGACGAUCCAUCUGUCUAAAAUGAGGCAUUACGACUCGCGCUUUCAGCAAGGCAAAGUGAAUCCGACGUUCAUUUACGAUUACGAGGACCAAACCUCUAUAUGUAGCUAUUUGACUGGCACGUAGUGCCGGGUCUCAUGUGUACGUUUCCAAUGUGAAAUACAGGGCUGAUUAGAGAUCAAAGGCUUUUGUAGUGGUUAGACCAGAAAUUUAUACGACGGCACGCUACCUUUAAACGCAAAAUUGACUCUAAUGCCCUAGCUUAGCUCAUAACCAUGCUGUGGAGGUAACACGCAAGAACGAUCUGCACAUAUCCGGGAAAUCAAAGAACAACGUACGCUUUGCCGAGGUAUCCUUUAUUAUUAUUAUUAUUUAUACAGUCGCUAUUGAAUACUCAGUUGAUAGGCAACAGCGGCAAACAUCUAUGUGAGUAACACUUCCCUGUGGGGUGCUCGUCUUGAGGUGGCAACCCGCGCAACUGCCACCUGAAAAUCACUGGUUUUUGUCCUUGUUUGGACUUUAAAUAUCAUUGUAUAUGCGGCACUAAUAAAACAUUAAGCCAACCUACUCAUCAAUAACAGUACUAAACAAUUAUGGAAAAUCGAGAUAGGUAAUGAAGAUACAAUACGAAAACCUUUUUGCCUUCGUAAAAAAAGCCUUUGUAUCUAACCUAUUCAGUUCAAACUUAACAAAAAUACAAAUGUUCUUUCGAUAGUGAUACUUCGCCCAUUACGUAUGAGCAAAAAUCGAACACAUGGCGCCAUUAGUAUGACUCGAUUUACGUUUACAAUGUUAAAAAGCAUAGAACGCUAUCGAAAAAUUAAUUAAUUCAAAGAUCGUAGGAUGCACACAGCUCCUGUUCAUAACGACGACAUAUGAACAGGAGCCAUAUGCAUCAUCCGAUCUUCAAGUGAAUGUUUUUUUUAAGGUGCGUUGAAUCUGGUCACAAAUUAUACCCACAUGGGACAAA